UACGUAGGGGGCGAGCGUUGUCCGGAUUUACUGGGCGUAAAGAGCGUGUAGGCGGCCAGGUAGGUCGGUUGUGAAAACUGGAGGCUUAACCUUCAGACGUCGACCGAAACCAUCUGGCUAGAGUCCGGAAGAGGAGAGUGGAAUUCCUGGUGUAGCGGUGAAAUGCGCAGAUAUCAGGAAGAACACCCGUGGCGAAGGCGGCUCUCUGGGACGGUACUGACGCUGAGACGCGAAAGCGUGGGGAGCGAACAGG
rnacentral:rRNA from 1 species